rnacentral:rRNA from 1 species
AUAAUUUUUAAUUUAAUAUAUUUUUAUUUAUAAAUAAUAUAAUAUAAUUAAUUUUAUUGUUAAAGUAAAUUUUAUUGAGAAAAUUUAGUUAUAAUACUGUAAAGGCAUUCAAAAUUAAUAUUCUAAUAAGUAAAAUUAUUUUUUUGUACCUUUUGUAUCAGGGUAAAUUAAUUAAAUUUAAAAAUUUAUAUUUCUCGAAUUAUAAUGAUUUAAGUUAAUUUAUAAGUUAUUGUUAUAUAAAUAUUUAUAAAUUUAACUUAGUAAUGAUAUUUUACCAAAUUAUAUGAUAUCUGGUUUUUCAAGAAAUGAAUUUAAUUCAGGAUUAUUAAUGUAAUUUAUAUUUAAAUUAUAAAUUAUUAUUUUUGUCCAAUUAUGAUAAGGAUUAACUAAUUAUAAAUAUUUAUAUGAUUGUUAUAAAUAAUAUUUAUUUAGGCUUAAAAACAGUCAACAUAGAGUAAGUUAAAUUUCAUAUUACAUUAUAAUUUAUUUUAUUAUCAUUAAAUUUUCAUUGAUAAAUUUUUAAUUCAAUAAAUUUUUUAAAUUUAUAAUGAUUUAAUUAGUAUAUAAAGAAGAUUUUAUUUAUGAAUUAAGCAAAUUAAAUUUUCACCUGUUUAUCAAAAACAUGUCUUUUAGAAUAAAAUUAAAAGUCUAAUCUGCCCAAUGAUUAUUUUAUAUUAAAUGGCCGCAGUAAACUGACUGUGCAAAGGUAGCAUAAUAAUUAGUCUUUUAAUUGAAGGCUUGAAUGAAUGAUUGAAUGAAAAAUUUACUUUAUUAAUUUAAAUUUUAUAAUUUAAUUUUUAGGUUAAAAAGCCUAAAUAAUUAAGUUGGACUUUAUUUAUAUAAUUUAAAUAAAUAUUUUCAUUUUUAUGUUGGGGUGACAUUAAAAAUUACAUAACUUUAAAUAUAUAAAACAUUAAUAUAUGUAUAUAAUGAUCCAAAUUUAUUAUUUUGAUUAAAAGAAAAAGUUACCUUAGGGAUAACAGCGUCAUUAUUUUUUAGAGUUCAUAUCAAUGAAAUAGUUUGCGACCUCGAUGUUGGAUUAAGAAAAUAAUUUGGAGCAAAAUCUAAAUUUAUAGGUCUGUUCGACCUUUAAAUUCUUACAUGAUCUGAGUUCAAACCGGCGUGAGCCAGGUUGGUUUCUAUCCACUUUAAUUCUUAUUAAUAUUAGUACGAAAGGACCAUAUUAAUUAAUUUAAUUAU